rnacentral:rRNA from 1 species
UACGGAGGGGACUAGCGUUGUUCGGAAUUACUGGGCGUAAAGGGCGCGUAGGCGGCACGACAAGUCGGGAGUGAAAGCCCGGGGCUCAACCCCGGAGGGUCUCUCGAUACUGUCGAGCUAGAGUGCGGAAGAGGCAACCGGAAUUCUCAGUGUAGCGGUGAAAUGCGUAGAUAUUGAGAAGAACACCAGAGGCGAAGGCGGGUUGCUGGGCCGACACUGACGCUGAGGCGCGAAAGCCAGGGGAGCAAACGGG